GCCCAAAACAUCUAGCUACGCCACACCCAUAAGGGUUCUCAGCAGUGAUCAACAUUAAAAAUAAACGUCAGUUUGAUUUAGCUAAAUAACAAAGAGUCGGCCAAUCUGGUGCCAGCCGCCGCGGUUACACCACGUGACUCAAAUUGAUUUUAGCACGGCGUAAAGAGUGAUUAAAGAGACAACUUUUGGGGUCAAAAUUAAACUAAGCUGUCGCACGAUUGUUCUUAAGAAGCCCUAUCUCGAAAGAUACCCCAACUCACCAACUUGAAUUCACAACAACUAGGACACAAACUGGGAUUAGAUACCCCACUAUGCCUGGUCGUAAACUUUAACUUACACUAUAUCGCCAGGGAACUACGAGCAAAGCUUAAAACCCAAAGGACUUGACGGUACCCCAUAUCCUUCUAGAGGAGCCUGUCCUAUAAUCGAUACUCCACGUUUAACCUCACCAUUAUUAGCUCAUCAGCCUGUAUACUUCCGUCGUCAGCUUACCGCGUGAGCGAACAGUAAACUCAAUGUCACUCAUCAAUACGUCAGGUCAAAGUGCAGCAUAUAAAAUGGCAAGAGAUGGGCUACACUCUCUACCUUAGAAGACACGAAAGAUUAUGUGAAACCAUAUUCAGAAAGUGGAUUUAGCAGUAAGGGGAACUAGAAUACUCCCCUUAACUCGGCACUGGGGGUGUGUACACACCGCCCGUCACCCUCUU
rnacentral:rRNA from 1 species